UUAAAAUUGUCAUUUCAUAUAUCACACAUUUCAUCAUAUGACAUAUCACAAACAUUGUUGUAAUGAUUUGAUAAUUCUUCAGUUUUAUAUACUGUACACUUGUUCCACAGUAGUUCCAACUUCCAAACUUACAAUUAAUUCUUGGCCAUCAAUUAGUACACGAGUGGUAGUAGGAAUUAUUUUGGUCUGUUCAUGAAUGAAUUCUCAUAUGGAAGAUCGGCCUGAAUCAGCUAGCCAUAUGUUCAUGUUGAUGUGUGCCAGGCCUGAAGUUCCUGGAGGUCAGUGCUUUCUACG
rnacentral:lncRNA from 1 species